rnacentral:rRNA from 1 species
GAGAGUUUGAUUCUGGCUCAGGACGAACGCUGGCGGCGUGCCUAACACAUGCAAGUCGAGCGAGGAGAUUCCCUUCGGGGAUGAACCUAGCGGCGGACGGGUGAGUAACACGUGGGCAACCUGCCUUAUAGAGGGGAAUAGCCUUCCGAAAGGAAGAUUAAUACCGCAUAACAUUACAUUUUCGCAUGAAGAAGUAAUUAAAGGAGUAAUCCGCUAUAAGAUGGGCCCGCGGCGCAUUAGCUAGUUGAUGAGGUAACGGCUCACCAAGGCGACGAUGCGUAGCCGACCUGAGAGGGUGAUCGGCCACAUUGGGACUGAGACACGGCCCAGACUCCUACGGGAGGCAGCAGUGGGGAAUAUUGCACAAUGGGGGAAACCCUGAUGCAGCAACGCCGCGUGAGUGAUGAAGGUCUUCGGAUCGUAAAGCUCUGUCUUCAGGGACGAUAAUGACGGUACCUGAGGAGGAAGCCACGGCUAACUACGU